rfam:Parcubacteria bacterium GW2011_GWA2_46_10 TX29_C0018, whole genome shotgun sequence.
GGAGAGAUGCGAGAGUGGUUUAAUCGGCAGUCCUGGAAAGACUGUGUGCCGGAAAUGGCACCGAGGGUUCGAAUCCCUCUCUCUCCG